CUAACACAAGCAAGUCGAGCGGAAACGACACUAACAAUCCUUNGGGUGCGUUAAUGGGCGUCGAGCGGCGGACGGGUGAGUAAUGCCUAGGAAAUUGCCUUGAUGUGGGGGAUAACCAUUGGAAACGAUGGCUAAUACCGCAUGAUGCCUACGGGCCAAAGAGGGGGACCUUCGGGCCUCUCGCGUCAAGAUAUGCCUAGGUGGGAUUAGCUAGUUGGUGAGGUAAUGGCUCACCAAGGCGACGAUCCCUAGCUGGUCUGAGAGGAUGAUCAGCCACACUGGAACUGAGACACGGUCCAGACUCCUACGGGAGGCAGCAGUGGGGAAUAUUGCACAAUGGGCGCAAGCCUGAUGCAGCCAUGCCGCGUGUAUGAAGAAGGCCUUCGGGUUGUAAAGUACUUUCAGUUGUGAGGAAGGGGGUGUUGUUAAUAGCAACAUCUCUUGACGUUAGCAACAGAAGAAGCACCGGCUAACUCCGUGCCAGCAGCCGCGGUAAUACGGAGGGUGCGAGCGUUAAUCGGAAUUACUGGGCGUAAAGCGCAUGCAGGUGGUUCAUUAAGUCAGAUGUGAAAGCCCGGGGCUCAACCUCGGAACUGCAUUUGAAACUGGUGAACUAGAGUACUGUAGAGGGGGGUAGAAUUUCAGGUGUAGCGGUGAAAUGCGUAGAGAUCUGAAGGAAUACCAAGUGGCCGAAAGCCGGCCCCCUGGACAGAUACUGACCUUCA
rnacentral:rRNA from 1 species